CUUAUUUGAUAGCAGCUUCACAAGUCUUGCAUCCAUUGAACUUGUGAGUUUUUGGACAGUUUCUGCUUCAAUUUGUUUGCAAGAUGUCAGAAUAGUCUCCCAGAGCUGCUGUUUGAAUGUAAACUGCCUCCCACCCUCAUAGAUCUUUUCCUUGAGGAUGCUCCAAAGGUUCUCAAUAGGAUUGAGGUCAGGGGAGGAUGGAUGCCACACCAUGACUUUCUUUCCU
rnacentral:lncRNA from 1 species